rnacentral:rRNA from 1 species
AUUGAACGCUGGCGGAAUGCUUUACACAUGCAAGUCGAACGGCAGCACGGGGCAACCUGGUGGCGAGUGGCGAACGGGUGAGUAAUAUAUCGGAACGUGCCCAAUCGUGGGGGAUAACGUAGCGAAAGUUACGCUAAUACCGCAUACGAUCUACGGAUGAAAGCGGGGGAUCGCAAGACCUCGCGCGAAUGGAGCGGCCGAUAUCAGAUUAGGUAGUUGGUGGGGGUAAAGGCUCACCAAGCCAACGAUCUGUAGCUGGUCUGAGAGGACGACCAGCCACACUGGAACUGAGACACGGUCCAGACUCCUACGGGAGGCAGCAGUGGGGAAUUUUGGACAAUGGGCGCAAGCCUGAUCCAGCAACGCCGCGUGA